rnacentral:rRNA from 1 species
UACGGAGGGUGCGAGCGUUGUCCGGAAUCAUUGGGCGUAAAGGGCGCGUAGGUGGUGAGGUCAGUUCGUGGUGAAAGCGCGGGGCUCAACCCCGCGUCGGCCAUGAAUACUGCGUCACUUGAGCACUGUAGAGGCAGGCGGAAUUCCGGGUGUAGCGGUGGAAUGCGUAGAGAUCCGGAAGAACACCGGUGGCGAAGGCGGCCUGCUGGGCAGUGGCUGACACUGAGGCGCGACAGCGUGGGGAGCAAACAGG